GAUGAACGCUGGCGGCGUGCCUAAUACAUGCAAGUCGAGCGAAUGGAUUAAGAGCUUGCUCUUAUGAAGUUAGCGGCGGACGGGUGAGUAACACGUGGGUAACCUGCCCAUAAGACUGGGAUAACUCCGGGAAACCGGGGCUAAUACCGGAUAACAUUUUGAACCGCAUGGUUCGAAAUUGAAAGGCGGCUUCGGCUGUCACUUAUGGAUGGACCCGGGUCGCAUUAGCUAGUUGGUGAGGUAACGGCCCACCAAGGCAACGAUGCGUAGCCGACCUGAGAGGGUGAUCGGCCACACUGGGACUGAGACAUGGCCCAGACUCCUACGGGAGGCAGCAGUAGGGAAUCUUCCGCAAUGGACGAAAGUCUGACGGAGCAACGCCGCGUGAGUGAUGAAGGCUUUCGGGUCGUAAAACUCUGUUGUUAGGGAAGAACAAGUGCUAGUUGAAUAAGCUGGCACCUUGACGGUACCUAACCAGAAAGCCACGGCUAACUACGUGCCAGCCGCCGCCGUAA
rnacentral:rRNA from 1 species